GGGCGAGACACUUCGGAGCUGGACUUCAUUUGGACUUAUACAAACAUGGAAAUAUAGAGAAAUGUGGACAGUAUAGAAUAUGUGGAGAUACCUAAUAUAUACAGAUGCAAUUGUCUCAGUCGUUUCUAAUUUUAUCUUCGCAAAGGAAUGUCUACAAUUCAUUAAACACCGAAGAAACAACCCUUCCAUGCCAGAAUAUCUUUAAAUAAUUAAAAUUCCGAGAACACUUCCAGCAGCGUCCUAAGCGAGUAAAUUACAAAUGUCCUAAGGAAAACAAGUCGAUAAAGAAAAGGAUUGAAAUCGAUGAACAUAAAAGUAGCUAUGUACACAUUACGUGAUUCCUGCGGGACUCGCAACAGUGAAGAAUGAAUUCUAACGAAUCCUCCGGCAGAAAUAACGUAAUCAAAAAUUUCAUCGACAAGUAGGCUGAGAAUAUCUUAACUGAAACGCUGAGGGACACAUUUUUCAGAUGAAUCUACAGGAAACAAGGAACAUUGAAGCAGCCUGGGUCUCUGAUAAACUCCUACGCGAUAGAGGCGACUCGCACGCGUCGAAUCGACGUUGAGUUCAGACUGUGGUGACAAAAUUUCAUUCGGCGGUGAACAAAUAAUGUUUCAAAAAUUCAAGGACAACUUCUUACGUGAUCAUUCUUAAUGUGAACAAAUUUCUAACAGGUGAGAAGAUUUCACACGUUUGAUGCUAGUGUUUCAUUCAGUCACCGCAGCGACAAAAAGCUUCGACAUCACUGGAUGGCAAGUUAGGUCCAUGGAAAGCGUAUUAUUAUACCUGGGUGGGAUCUGUGUUGUUAGAAGACCUUCUAUGGGGUCCAUAGUAAUUCGAAGCCUAUCGUUCGCGGAACACAGGUGCAGGAAUUAGAAACGUAUCGAACGGGAUGUUUGAAGACGAUACCUUUCACUAUGCGUGUCUUAGAAGAUUAUCUGCACUUGAUAUUUUAAUUUAUAUCGUUUUACAUAUUCAUGAAAUUGUUAUUAAUACAUUGUAUGCCAG
rnacentral:lncRNA from 1 species